rnacentral:lncRNA from 1 species
ACAUCUAAUCUAAUCUUGUAAAUUCCUUUUUUUAAUUAACAAUAAAUAAUUACAAUGUAAGUUAAGUUUUUAUGUAUUAUUAAAUCAUUUGUANGCUUGGUACUAUUGAUAGUAUAAUAGCAUAAUUCUAUAUAGAGUCCGGCUACUAUACUAUUGCGCUGAAUAUGAGCGAGAUGACUCGAGCUUAUAUUUUACUGUUUACAAACGAGCGAUUGGAUUUCGAACUUAUUUUGUGUUGAUUUGAUUUCGAACUCAUUUUGUGUUGAAUAUAAGGUGGCUCGCAAACAUACGCAGCUAAAAAGUUUAGUGUUUCAACUGCUGCUUAAAUUGAUAGCAGCACUUUUUAAAGGUAAGAAUUAUCAUGCAUGUCUUAACAAAUAUCUGGAGUCAUUAAAAUUUUUUUAUACUCUAUGGUGUAUACUCUAUUUUUCUUCUCAGUAACUAUGUGAAAACUUUUAGUUAAUAUUGUAUUUACUCUUUUAGUUAAUAUUUUAUUUACUUGUUAUCAAAUUUUGUAAAUCUACAUUUUUCAAACUAAUAAUAAAUAGCCACCGUCAAAUUUUAAGGCCAAUUUACAUUAAAAAAUUGACAAAUUUUGAGCUUUUAUAAAAGUUGGUUGUCUUUUUCUAUUUUGCAAAUUCGAUUCAAAAUUUUAGCAAAUUGAUUAAAAUAUCCUUAUCAUUUUUUCCCUCUUCUCUUUUUUUUCUUCUCUUUUUUUUCGCUCGUUCAUUUUUUUUCUCUCGCCGAAAAAAGCGCAAAGGAGGCAGAGGCGCCUCGCCUCUUACCCUCGUGCCCUCGCUCUCGCACCCUUCACCCUUCUCCCCUUCGACCUCGUUAAGGCCGUGCCACGACUCUUUUUUUUUAUGACACCUCUCUUGAUCUCUCGCAUUUCCCUGCCUUUCUCGUCCUCUCUCUCCCUCCUCUGCCGCCCUCGACGACGAUACAUCUUCGCCGACGUCGAUGCCACGGAGGUCGCUGCAGCGACGCAGCCUCGAAGCCGGGGGGCUUUAGCGACGGCGCCAUGGCCGUUGGCAGAGAUGGGUGAUCAAAAAAAAAUUAUAGAAGAAGAAAGAAUAAAAAAAUAAAAAUAAAAAAAUUAUAAAAAAAGAAAGAUGAAGAUAAAAUUACACCGUUAUAAUAAAAUUGUACCGUUUUAAAAAAAUAUUGCACUAUUAUGGACCCACUAUUUAAGAUAUAAACUGUAUCCUUUAAAACAAAAAUUACACUCGUUAAACGAAAAUUGCACUAUUUGAGAUAUAUUUAUACUGUUUCUUCUCUUAGGGGCUGUUUGGUUGGAUGUAGUUGCAGAAACAGUGUAGUUGGAAAUACAUGCAGUUGCAAAUGCUGCAGUUGUAAUUACACCUAGUCUGUUUGGUUUUACGCAGUUGCAACUGCCGCAGUUACAUUUCUUCUGUUUGGUAAUAUGAAGCUGAUAGUUGUAUUUGUGAAUUUUGUCACAUUUUCAGAUAGAAUGGUGAGAUUACUUUCACUAAACAUAAAAUAAUUGUAUAAAUUUAUUAAUCAUUUAAAUUUACUAUUUAUAAAUAAAUAAGUAGAUAUAUAUAAUAUUCUUCAACUUAUUAAUCGACACAUUUAAAAUUUUUAAUUUAUUUAAUUUUAAUAUGUAAAUCAAACUUUAAAAUUUAAACGAUUCUCUCAUUUUUUUUAUCAAAUUUAAUAAUUAUAAUUAAUUAAAACUUAUUAAAUUAACAUACACGAUCACAUUCUAUAAAAUUUUUUUAAAAAAAUAUAUUCUAUAUUCUUAAAUAAAAUAAAUUUAAAAUUUAAUUUUUGCCAAAGCUUGUAUUGUCAUAAAAAUUUUAACAUUAUUAUGCUAGUUUAUUUACAAAUAUUUUUUAUUUACUAUAUAGCAUAUAUUUAUUAUUUAUAGGCUAUUUAUAUUAUUUAAUUAUUGUUUAAUCUUCUUAAAGUGAUCCUAUUCCCUCACUAAACAUUAACGUUGCAGUUGAUACUACCAUACCAACUUUGAUGUAUUCCAACGCAGCUAUUUAAACCUUCUUGUCGAAUUGAAACCAUAGUUAGUUAAUUCGGAUCGGCAAAAAUUCGUACGGAUAUAAUUCGGAAUAUAAAUUCCGUACCCUAUUUUUAAAAUCGUGAAAAAAUCGCUUAAAACGGAUUCGCCAAAUAUAUCGGAAUACUGAUUUAUACGGAUAUUAUACGUUACCCAAUUAAAGAAUUGGGAUCAAAAAAUUCCGUGAUCUAUUAAAUUAAUUUUUUUCCAUCAAAUUAUCAAUUGCAUAAAUAUCUUCAAUUUUUAAGAAUAAUAAAGAAUAAAAAGCACAAAAUAAUAAAAAAUAAUAAUAAACAGAGAAUGAACACAUUCAUUAAAUGAUAGUAUAAUAAAGGAGAUUCUGGUACCACUAAGUUAAUCUAAGAAUUAUUUAUUCUCUAUGUUUGGUUGCUUUGUGCAUAACAAACAUAAUGGACACAUUCAAUUUAAGUCAGCCAGGAGCCAUUUGUGUAUAAAAAACGUAUUCAUCAAAUGGACUAAAAAGCUUCCAACUUUGGCUUUGUAAAAAAAACACCCGAUUACUGAUCUAUCUUGUUGAUAGCUGAAGCGGAAGCGGAAGAGGCGACGAGUAGGUUUCGACUUGUUGAAUAGUGAAGUAACCCGAUCUUCGAUCUUCAACUUUCUGAAGACGAGCUUCCAUGCCGUUGCGGCGAGCUGCCGGGAAGGGUAAAGAGGGGAGGGAAGGACCGCCGGACAGCCAUAGGGUCGCCGUGGCAGGGGCUUCGACGGUUUUUGUGAAAAGUUGAGCGCCGCAAACCGCCGCAGGGUUGAGAAAGUUAGGCAAACCCUUUUUUUUAAUAAGAGUGUGGUGGCCGUGAGAAUGGUGUGUGGACUCGUUGCGUGAAGGAGGCGUUCGAGAAAGGUUUUUUUUUUUUUUUUUUUAUUUUUUUUUUGGCACGACAUGCCGAUUCAGAAAAUGCACUUGUUUUUUUUUUCCCGUUUGGGCCACCGCGAGCCCCGACGUGGCUCGCAGCAACGGGCCGACAUUUUUGGCCUAAUUAUUCGCCGAAUACCCGUUAAUUCGGCAAUAAAUUCUUUUUGCCCAAAAACAACGCGAAUUAUUCCGAAUUUUGGAAAAAUGCUAACGGCAAUUUACAACCAGCGCAAUAAGAUUGAUAUGCGUAAAAUUUCGAAUUUCAAACCAAUGGCGCAGAAAUAAUUCGCCACAAAUUUAACUAACAUCGAUUGAAACUGUCAACUAAUAAUACCCUCACUACACCUAAAGCUCAAUACAAGGAAAUUAUUGUAUGGCUGAAGUCAUGCAUUGUGAGCUAAAGACUGCAAAAGAAAAACUAGCAGUUUAGUCCAGAUCGUCAAAAUUGUGCAUACCAAACAGCACCUUAUUUGUAUUUUUGAGAUGUAAAGUCCAGCAUCCAUUAAAAUAAAGUAUAAUCUUUAAACGAAAAAUUAAAUUAUUUGAAAGAUAUUGAUACUAAUUUUUAAAUUACACUCUUAAGGAUAUAAAACCGUACAGCGCGAUCCUUAAAAAAAGAAAAAAUAUACCUUUUUUAAACGAAGACAUUGUUUUAAAAGAAUUAUUUAUAUGUGCUUCCUUCUCUUGUUGCACUAUUUGAAAUAUAAAUUACCACACCUUUAAAAAAAUAUUUAAUCUAUUUGAAGAGGAUAAUGUGUAACACCUAAGUUCUCAUUCGAUCGUUUGGCUUGGCAUCUGAAUUUUUUGCGAUUUGGUCUUUGUGAACAUUUUGACACGUGCUGUGAUUGAACCAAUAAAAUAAUCAUGAGCACCAAGUAUUUAACUAGUUUUUUAGGUUUUCGACUUAAAAAUGGUAUAAUUAGAUGAAAAUGAUGCAAAAGGUGUAAAUCAACGAUGGUAAGAACAAACUCUAUAACAUCGAGCCUUGUGAGCUGAUCUGUGCCAAAUGAUCAAAUCCCAGUAAAUGGUGCUAUCCUACUGCCCACUCGAUUAGCAACGGGAGUCGAUAGCCACCAAGGGGCUCCGGUGCUAUCGAUUUUAAAGCUUCGCGUUAGAUUUAAAUGCCGGUGUUAGUAUUAUUUUUAACCUGUGAGAGGAUCCAUAAACUUAACAUAUCAACCAAUUAGGCCAUUUACCACCUCUUUAAAAUUGGUUGAAGAAAAAGUUGACGCUCACACUAAUUCCAGGGGCCGUUGCUAAGUUAUAGUGUCAGUGCGCCAGGCUGACGUGGUCUAUGUCGAUUAGUCGGUUUUGGUUUUGGUACUUGACUAAUGAUACGGCCCCACAUCAUCCACGCUGCAUAUUUUCUCAUCCAAAGCUAAAAGACCAACUAGCAGCACGAUAGCUUUUGUGCAAACUGAAUAGUAUUCUGCACACCUAAUUCUAUAUACAAUAUAUAUAAUAUAUAUAUAUAUAUAUAUACGAGAGAGAAGAGAAGAGAGAGACGAAGAGAGAGAGAAUCCGGUUAUAAUACUAUCGAUAGCACUAAGGAUUUUGUGCUAUUGAGUUUUCUACCAUUAAAUUUAACCUUUGAUUAUUUUUACCCGUUAGAUUAUACUAUUCAACCAACCACCCACUCAACCUUAGGACGUCCAUAUCAUCCUAACCGCAUAUUUCUCAAUUCAAGAACUAAAAAACUAAUAGCAUCAAUAGCUUGGUAUAUACACACACAUGCCUAAAAAAAAAUACGUAUCCAUGUUAUGGCACUCUGCACAAGAGCUUUUUGAAUGUUAAAAAAGAGCUUUGUCAAGUCAUGGCACAUUUUAAAAAUUUUAAUUUAAUAAUAUCAUUCCCAAACUCAUUCUAUAAUGAAGUCUCAUGUAGCUAGUGCUAAAGAUAUACACGAAAUAGUUAAAGAUAUAUUAGACAAAAAUAAAAGAUAAAUUUACCUCCCAAAUCACCUUUUAAAUAGAAUUUUCUUACAAAAACAUUGAAAAUAAUCUCACCAAUAUUUUUGAAAGAUAUGUUUCAAUUCCAUACAACCAAACAAAUUAUUUCUAGUUAUAAGGCUUUUCACUAUAUUCAGAAAACACGUAAAUAUAACUCUUGCAUUUUUCCAACAAAAUAGCCCUUAACUACAUCAAUAUGAGAGAGGUAUAUAUAUAUGCAAAGAAUUCAAAAAUUUCUAGUUUCAUGGCCCACAUUUUUUUCAAUGCUGGGCUACUAAUUUCUGGACCCUGGCCCAGCAAGGCCCUGCCCGAGCAACUCGGAGCUGAACAGUUCCAUGGGCCAACUUAAUGUUUUUAAAUAUUAUGAUUCUUCGAAAUUUUUUAAAUGCUUCAUGACUCCCGUGUCUUUAAAUACUAAUUUUAUAAAACGAUAAACUUCAAAAACUAAGCAUAUGGUUCCGCACUUUCUCACUUAGUAUUUUAUGGUUUAAAGUAUAUUAAGUUAAUAUUCUAUAAUUUCAUUUUCAUCUUUUCGUUAGCUUUUUCGUUAAUAUUUCGUUAAAUUAUAUACAAAAAACUUCAGAUAAUUCAUCUAAAUUUAUCGAAUAUUUAUUUUAGUACCCUUUAAUUUUAACUUUGUCACUUAUUUAACGAAAAGAAUUAAUAAAAUUAACAAUAAGAAAAUACAAAUAAAAUUUCAGAACAUUAAAUUAAUAUACUUUAAACCAUAGGGUACAAAAAUGAAAAAGUAUGAAACUACUGGAGCGGUAUUUAAACUUUUUCCUUUAUAAAAUGUAUAAAAUUUUUCAUUCCAUAAAUAAAAUUUUGAGAAGUGAAAACUUCAAAAGAAAGUUAUUCUACUCGGAAUAACUCAAAAUAUAUUUGAAAGAAGGAAAAAAAUCGAAACCUGUGCAUAGAGGGAGAGCAUUGUGAGAGUUUAGUUAUUAGUUCGUAAGGAUAGGCUUUUAGAAACAUGUAAGCUUUAAUUUCUUUCGAUGGAAAGAUAAAAGAGAUAAAAUAAAAAAAAAAAGAGAAAAAAAAAAUACUCCUAUGAUCUCUUCAUUUUUUUUAUUUUAAUCCAAAGAAAAUUUAGAUAUUUUCUCUCUGAGCUUUUGUUUUUUUCCCCUUUUUUCUCUUCAUCCAAAGGAGUGCUAAAGCAUGUCAAAAUAUUAUACUACGCUAGUUCUACAAUUUCACCACCACAAGAGAGAGAGAGAGAGAGAGAGAGAGAGAGAGAGAGAGAGAGAGUUACCAGGCAAGGAAGAGAGGAAGAAACCCUAGAAUUCCUGCAGGGCCAGAUCCCACCUCGCCCCUUCCCUAGCCGCCGCCAUGGCCGAGGAGGUGCUUCUUGGCGAGGAGGACAUGGUGGAUAUUGGGGAAGAGGACGUGGUGGAUGUUGGGGGAGGAGGAGGACGCCGCUGGAGAAGGCGAUGGCACCGCACCUGAGAUCAUCACCAAAACCCUAAUUAAUAAAUUGGAAACCCUAAUUAAAGCUAGAAGCCGUAAAAAUGAAAUCCCAUAGAAGGCCUAGAAACCUUAAUUCUCGCAGGAGAGAGAGGUUCUCUGGAAAUCGCGGAAACCCUAAUGGAAACCCUUGAAAACACUAGGAUAGGGGAGAGGGGCGGAGAGAGAGAGGGGGGUAGGGAAGGAUACCGACCUCGGCGGGAAGGACCUCUAGAAACCCAAGGAACCCUUAAUGAAACACUAAUUCUUGGAACGCUAUAAACCUUAGAAACCCCAAAUUUUUGGUACCCUAAAAAUAUUAGAAACCCUAACUCUCGGAGGAAGAAGGGGGAGGAGCGAGCCCUAACCUCGGCGGCGAGGUACGCGAGGAGCUGAGGCAAUCUGCGUCGCCUCCCGAGCUCAGCGUGCGAACGAAGCUCGAGGAAGAAGACGAAGGAGCGCUGAGAGUUUGGGGGAGAAAGGGAGAGGAGCUUUUAGAGAGAGAGAGAGAGAGAGAGAGACGUGGAAACGAUGCGAGCGGGUUCUUCUACAUAUAUAUAUAGGAAGGUCGAGGAAUUAUUUCGUGCACCCGGUUCAUCCGUACACUUGGUGCACCACAUUCAAUAUUUCAUUUUUACAGUUUAGUGUUUUAAAAUUAAAUAAAAUGUAAUCCAACACAGUAAGUUACAACAUCUAAAUAACUUAAAAAACAGAAAAUAAAAUAAUAUAUUUAGAAUACAUGAUAUAUAUAGAGAGAGAGAGAGAGGGAGAGAGAGAGAGUAGCUGCUACUUUUUAGAAGGAUGGAGGUCUUCGUCUUUUUAAGUCGUUUUAGAUUAUAAAAAUUUUGACUCGAUAAUCGAAAUAGUUAAAGUUGAUCUGUAGUAUUGAAAAUGUGUAGAAACUAAAUUUUAUAAAUUUUAAAAACUAUUCACGUAGUGUUCAAAGGAUCAUAAAAUCGAUAGCUUUUUAUGAUCUAUGUGAGCUAUUUGCUUAUUUAACGAUAUAGAACAAUUCAAGCAGCUUAAAUUUUUAAUAGAAAAUUUUUUAUAUUAUAUUUAAAUAAUAUUUUAUAACUCUAAUCAUAAAUUAAAAAAAUCUAACAUUUAUUUUUAUAAGGUUAUUCAUUUUUUACUAUAUAUUUUUCGAUUUCUUCAAUAAACUUGAUAACGAAUUUUAAAAUAUAUAAAAUUUAAUUUUUAGACAUUAUAUAUACUUUAGAUCAAUUUUAACAAUUCCAUCCAUCGAUUCAGAAUCUCUAUUAUCUAAAAAGGUUCUGAAGGACGAAAGUCUUUAUCCUUCUAAAACGAUAGUAGCUAAAUUCUAUACAAAAAAUAACCGGAUUAAGUAAAAAGCACCAUCUGAUUAAGUAAAUUUAGCAUUUAGUACUAACUUAUUAAAAAUAAAUAAUAUAAAAAAUUAUCACAUGAUUUGUAAGUGGCCCGUGGUGCCUUUACUUAAUCCGGUGGACAGAUAAAUAUUUUUACAGUAAAUGGUUAAAACUCUGAAAAAUGGUGAUAGAAACCACACCAAUAUCACUAUUUUUGCAAAUUUUUGGGUACGUCACGUUCCGGUUCCAUUGAUUUUUUGCUUCCCAAAUUUUAUGCUCCCCUCUUUUAUUUCAUAAUUGGGCUGGUUUAUUAUGCUAAAAUUAACUUCUACAUGCAUCAAAGCACAACAAAAAAGUUGAAACACCACAUCAACGACCAAACACAACUUCGUGUUCUCCCAUUAUUGCAUGUCUCAGGAUGGGUUUGAUUUGUUUCCAUAAACAACAAACUCGAGCUAAGCUUUUAAUCUUAAUGCAUAAAAAAUCCCCAGCUUCGGUUCAUAAAACGUAGCCACGCAAUUCGAAUAUAACCACAAUUUGCAUCAGUGAUCAGUGAGUCCUAAAUCAACAGGCUUUAAUAGGUAAUUGAAAUAACCAAUUAUCGCAAAAACUUCCAAAAUUCGCUCGUAAUAAACUUACAUUUGAUGUAUAAGGAAGACAAAUUAUGUCCUGCGUAUUUUUAAUACCACAGAUGAAGAGAAAAUAGAAGAAAAGGCAACCUUAAUAAGAGAGAAAAAGGAACAGGUUUGUGCUCAACUUGAAGAUGUUCCGCAUGGCUUGAAGAGGUCCAAGGUAUCGCGAUAGGUCGGACAAAGUUGUAAGUUCAUGGCAAAGUCGCAAGUCGCGUCUACCUCCUCCUGUUAAUGUAUGAUCACAUCAGAUGUAAAUGCCCAGCGGAUAACCACUAGAGAUGUGUCAUUGAGAACCAUGAGUCGAAGUGCAAAAGUAAGUGAUCGGCCAAACCUGCUUCCUCUUGCUUUUGGCACAAGCAGUCCCCGCUUCUCGAGGCUUUUGAACCGGUCCCGUGCUAGAGUGCAGCAGCCCUUUACCGCGUGAAAUAACAACGUUAGUUGCUGCAUAAUACUUAUAGUAGUGAACACAUUACAAUUAUUAAAAAAAAAAAAAUCACCUUCAACUUUCGAAGAGACCCUGAUAUUUCUUCUGUCAAAAGAACCUGACGAGGAGCUGGCUCAAACCUGUUACAAAGCAGAAAUGCCAAAUUUAGCUCCGUUCUUGGACUGUUUUGUUAGUGAGAUAUCAAAAUACUCAAGAGGACUUGUGAUAAGAGAGAAUCUCAUUAAUAGUAGCAAGGAAUUUCGACAAAUAUUGUUUAAGCACACGACAAGCUUGAAAAAGAUUUUUUUUUAAAAAAAAAUGCAACUGAUAACUUAAAAUAAAAAAGGAAAGGGCCCUCGGUGCCAUUUUCCCUCUGCUCAUAAUGAUUUAGGCUUAAUUCAGACGAUAUCCAACUUAUUUGAUUGUUAAGUGCAGAAUUAACUCUAUACGGACCAUGGAAAUAGAAGUAGGAGGGGGGAAGAAGGAACAAAAGUGCUUUAACUAAAGCAACUGCUGAACAAAAGUGCUUUUAUUUCUGUGAUAUCUAGAAAUCUCAAAUCUCAGCUACGUUACAUUUGGAUUAGACAAGCAGAACCUGCACAUAUGCGUCUAACAUGCUGUUUGGUCCAGCGUAGCUGCAGUACGGAGCUUCAGCUACAGCAUGGACAACUAUAAGUGCUUAGCUGUGCAGAAUUGAUUAAGCUGCAGCAAACCCCUCAAAAUGCAGUGGCUUGCUGAUCUUAUAUCCAACAAUCAGAUCUACGACUCUUGUACCCUUCAAGAAAGUUACUAGAAAGGAAGAUUUACCACUCGCAAAUCUAUGGGCCUCCUUUGGUGAAGGACAACUCUGUGUGCGUGCGAGAGAGAGAGAGAGAGAGAGAGAGAGAGAGAGAGAGAGAUUGCUCUAACUAUAAUUUCAACCAAGGAUUUAAGUGCCGUGACACGGGGUCGUGCCGGAAACUUACCGGCACGGUGCGUGCCGAACCGUGCCAAUGCGUACCGGUCAAAAAAAUUCUUAUGUGCCGACACAUAAUAGCAUGAAAUAUUUAUUUUCUUUAGCAGCAAAAUAUUCUAACUAUUUAUUAUAUCUUUUUAUCACAUCUUUUGAACUUUAUUGAGAAAAUUACUUACUAAUUUAAAGAAUAGAAAGUUUUGAGCUGUGCCAUCGGCACAGGAUCUGUAUCGUGCCGGUAUCUUGUUGGCACGGUACGGCACGGUGGAUACGGCCCGUGCCGACGGGCACUUAAAACCUUGAUUUCAACAGCAUAUUAUCUGCAAAGCACUAGAGUACUAGACGUAUAAUUUUGACAUGCAUACUUUAAUAAGCAAUUAAUGAAUUUAUGAACAGUAACUGUAAUGCCAAGUUAUGGAAAUUACUUGUGUUUCCCCAAACGAGGUGGAACAGAUUUUCGUCUUUCUUCCUUAGCUACAACACGUCUCAUAUGUCUUCUCUCCUUUUCCUCAUCCUCUUUAGCUAUCUCUUUCAUUAUAUCCGGCAAACUACAACAAUUAAGCAUAAGAUUGUAAGGAUAAGCUCUAAAAAUCACCAUAAUACCUCAAUUGCAUCAGGAUGCAACACAAAAAAGUACCUGUCAAUUUCCUUGAAAAGGUCCUCCCGCUUUUUUGCUUCUUUUUCUGCUUUCAGCAACUCCUUCCGCCUGGCUCUUCGAUUUAAUUCUACUCGUGUCACCUUCUUCGUUUUGGAAGUUCUGCACCCGAAAAAUUGGAAAACAUUGAUUAUCAAGGUUGGAGGACAAAACUUAAAAAGCAUGUAAACAGUAAUCACGUAAUAUCACAUGCCGGGCUAGCCGAAAAUCUUAGUUUAUCGGCAUCUUCUAAAAGAGAUACAAUAGAUCCUAAAAUAUAUGAUCAGUCAGCUCCAUAAGAUAUUUUUAACUGCACUUACCGGUUAAUUGGAGCCAAGUAGAAACUCUAAUUAAAAGACGCUUAUUACCAUACAUAAAAAGACACUUCAUGUUUUAUGUACCAAAGAAGAAAUUUCUGGCAGUCGAGUACAAAAUAUUGCAGUUAAAAAGUAGGAAGAGUGCAAAAAUAGCAAUAACGGCAACAUCAACAAGCUUGCACCAACACUGACCUUUGUGUUGCUAAGUCAUCACCAACAUGACCUAAGUCGUUUUCUUUAUCAUCUUCACUUCCAUCAUCUGCAUCUAGAAAAUACUUCUGCAAGAUAGGAGGUACAAACAAAUGAGAAUAAUUACACAGAAAAUAGCCAGUGACAAAGUGCAGUACCCAUUGACAUCAUAGACAUAGCACAAAAAUCAAGUAUUCCAACCGAGCUGAUAGAUUCCAGAAUUCUACAUGUGCUUGUUUAAACACUGAAUUGACACAUCCUCUCAAAAAAAAACUGCAUGUACACAUGUAAUGAACUCUUACAAUGGGUGUCCUUUAUCACUGAUGUCAUCAGCAUUAUAAAAAUGAACUGGUAAGACUUGCCUCUUCUUCAGUCACUAGUUCGCCAGUAACCUCAAGUGGCACAGGUUGAGGUCCCAAUUCCUUCUUGUAGAUUUUUUGCAUCUCAUCAGCCACAGCUUGAGCUAGUGAAUCCUACAAUCAAAGCAAGCAUCCAAGUUUCCCAUUCAUUAAAACCAGCUAAAUCAGUAAAAGCAGCUCAACUUUUAACCACCCUCAGGUCAGCAACACGCAUGGACUGAAAACUGGAGGACUUGUGAUCAAGGAUUUAAGUGCCGUGGCACGGGGUCAUGCUGGAAACUUGUCGGCACGGUACAGUACGGUGCGUGCCGAGCCAUGCCGAUGUGUGCCGGUCAAAAAAAUUCUUGUGUGCCGACACAUAAUAUCAUGAAAUAUUUAUCUUCUUUAGCAACAAAAUAUUCUAACUAUUUAUUAUAUCUUUUUAUCACAUCUUUUGAACUUUAUUGAGAAAAUUACUUAUUAAUUUAAAGAAUAGAGGGUUUUGAGCUGUGCCAUCAGCACGGGAUCUGUAUCGUGCUGAUAACUUGUUGGCACGGUACGGCACGGUAGAUACGGCCCGUGCCGACGGACACUUAAAACCUUGCUUGUGAUAUAAAAGAUAAACCUGAUGCGCUUCAAAUGGAGGAUUAAAUGAACAUCCUGGUGGCUCCACUUCAACAGCAGGAAUAAUAGUAGUCGUCCUCUGUAAGGUAAUGCAUUAACUCAUGAGACCAAUGAUUAUGGAAAUAAUUUGCCAAAAUCAGUACUUUGACACCUAUAGUAAUUCUCAGGCCCAAGUUUAUAACACAUGAAUGCCAAUUGAACCUCAGACCAACAUAGCCAGUGCUAAAAUACGCAAAGAAACAUGGUUUCUGCGGAAACCUUUCUUAAGCAGAAUAGUGGAAUGUAAUGAGUAUCGUCUUGACAAGAAAAUGACCUGAAUAGCAAUAUCUACGAUCUACCUGUGUCUAGUUUUUCCUUAGUUCCAUUUGUUUUGGAUCAAUAGCACCACCAGGACAGAAAUAACUAGAUCAUGCUUUUCUGCUUCUUCUGAAAUCAGAAGAACAUGAAGCUGCUCUGAGCAGCAGGACUUUAGCUUAACACAGGUUCUGAUAUUAUCAUCGCAAAAUAUAGCCGCUUAUCUUUUUUAUCUUAAUAAUGCAUAAUUAAUUUCACACAAUAGGAUUCUUAUCUUUUUUAUCUUGAUAAUGCAUAAUUAAUUUCACACAAUAGGAUUCACAAAGACAAAAUAGAAGCAUACAAAAUUCAACAGUCUUGAUUGUGAGAAAUUACAAGUCUGUUCUGUGGACAACAUAUAUUACCUCAUAUAUAACUUCAAUUCAAAAUCUCAAAUCAUAUUCAAAAUUCGAGUGAAAACUAUAGUAGUGCAUAUGCAUCACCUUUUUAGCCUUGGCCCUUGUUUCAUCUGCAAGGUUUGGGGAAAGAAAAAAAAGGGGGGUGGAUGUUAAAUCUACAUACAACUAUUAUUAAGAAUUUUGAAAAAAUAGCUAAGAGAGGGAAGAACCUUUCUCAUCCCAUAUGUCAAGGGGCAUAGAAGCGGAAUCAUCUAGCUGAAAGCAUCACACCAGGUGGUAAAAUUUCAUAGUAAAGAGUAACUAUUUAAAGGAAAGUUCUAUCUUAAAAUAUGAAACUUAAAUUUAAAUAUUUAACUGAUGAGCAAAUACCUUGGGAACAUUUUCAACAUCACAUUUAGCUUUCAAAGCUUCUUUUCUUUUCUUCUUUGACUUUUUCAAAGUUGAUGAUGGGAUUGGUUGCACAUAAGGAUUUCUCUGGAAUAUCCUCUCAUAAUUAAGAACUUUUUCCCUUUGCUUUUCGAUCUUCCGUUUGAUGGGAAUAUCUACAUGAGUUACUAUAAAGUUAGGAAAUAUUCAGAAUAAAUUCCAUAAACUAAAUUCCACAAACAAACAUUUUAAAUAUCGACAGUACCAAAGGCUUAACCAACUAUUUGGGAUUUGAUUAUGUAAAUCCUUUUCCAUCAUUUAGCUCUAUCUCAAGCAAUUCAAUUUAAGGUCUAUCAAGCUUUUCUUCACCUACAACUAAACUAGGAUAGGCCUACUCUUUAGAGGUAUGCAAUAUAUGUCUUGACAAAAACAACAAAAUAGCUCAAAGUAUAUUAUGCAACUGCAAAUGAGCAAUUUCCAUAUCCAUUGUCAGAUGCAUUCAAACAAAGUGAAGUUUUUGGUCAUCUAUGAUUUUCUUCUACUUCCUCUUUAUUUAAAAAGCUCAUUUUGCGCAUGUAAGUGAUAACCUCUUUCUCGGUAACAUCUAAGCGAAAAGUUUGCUGCAUUGAACUAAUUUUGUAGGUUAUUACCCAGGUAGCGAGUAUCGUGCAAUAAACCGUACCACAAGUACUUGUUAUGAAACCAGUAACUUCCUGUGUUCCCUCUUUAGCCACAAUAGCUCUAAAGAUUGCGUUUUUACUACGUUCUUUCCACAAGCAUCAUGCAUGCACCAAGUCAAAGCCACGAUUUCGGAUCUCAACCACUAAAACAACAUCAAAACCCCUCUUUUCACCGCGGUUUCGAACAGUUCGAAUUAACACACGAUUCGAAAUCACGCGCAUUAAACAACACCAAAGAAGCGAUCCAACUGUGGAAAAAACGGGUUUCACGAGUCGCAUACCUUUGGAUUUGUCAACGUAGAAGAGGGAGUCGGAGGGGAGCGACGGGAGCGCCGCGGCGGCGCCGCUUAGGGCAUCCUUGGUGGCCUUCUCGAAGUAGUCGUCGAUGUCCUCCGUGCUUAUCUUCGCCCUCCACGCCUUCUUUCCCCUCCGCCUCGACCCCUUCCCCAUGCUCACCCCUCUCUCUCUCUCUCUCUCUCUCUCUCUCUCUCUACACGAAGAAGAAGAAGAAGAAUAGGGCGAUGGGGAGGGGAAGAGAGAGAAAGCGAGCACGCGGAGACGAGGGAGGGAUUGACACCGCCCUAGGGUUUUUGGAGGACCGGACCGGGGUGGGACGGGAACUAAUUUCGGAUCGGUUUUUGUGGGUUCUGGAUCCGGUCCAAAAAUGGCGGGGGUUCAGUCCUAUGAAAAAGAAAAUCUCCCCUAAAUUUUAAGAACCAGACCUACCUGACCUAGCUCACUUAGUACCCAAAAACCCUAAGUUCGAAAGCGGAUUCAUAUUUUUAGUAUUUUUAGUUGAGUUCAUUUAACAAAAAAUAUGAAGGAAACAAGUAAUUUGCUAUUGUGACACUUCUAAAAUUCCGAAAUAGUCAUAUUUUAAAAAUAUAAUAGGAUUAAACCUCUUAAUUCAACUGCAUUUUAGGCGAUGGUUAGGAGGGUUAAAAAAAUUAAACGUGCUAGAGUUGAAGUAAUUUUAGGGCAAACAGUUGGUAUCAGAGUUAAUUCCCGACUGAUUAUCAUUGUGGGUGGUCAUAAGAUGGGUUAAGACUAGCGUGAGGCUAGUGAGACGAAUCUUAUAUCAUUUGAUAUUUGUGAAUGUACUUGAGUCUGACGAGAAUGUACAAACUUAGAGGAAGGAGGAACGUGACACCUCCAGUCCUAAAAUGGUGACCUCCAGAAAGUAGUGCAUCACAACUAUCUUUUGUUGGACAGUGACUUUAACGUUGGUAGUUGUUAUCCAAAUUACCGUCUUACAGGUCUAAUUUAGUUAUGAAGAUUGUGCAAACUUGAUAAUUAUAAAAUAUAACGUACAUUUUUGCUCUUCAUGUAAAAUUUAUAUCAAAUCAAUUAUAACGACCCAUGUUAAAAUACUUGUACACAAAUUUUCCUCUUAUAUUUUUGUGGAAGUUGGAAAAUUCAUUAAAAAUUAGAGAAUAUAGUGAAGAUAAUUAAGCAGUUCAUCACCACUGACUAAACUACUUGAUCCAUAUCUUCACUCACCGGGCCUAAGAUUUUUUUUUGACUUUUGUGUACCAUUUGGUAUUGAGUGCUAUCUAACACAAUUGGCCAAUAAAGAGUCGGGGCAAAUAUUUAUCUGUAUUUUGUAUAAUUGAAUCUCCAUAAUAUAUACUACAGCUUUGUUUUGACACAUGAAUAUAUUUAAAGAGAAAGCUUUAUAGUAUUUAGUAGAUAAAGUGGUCAAAUAUUUAGAAUUGAAUAUCAUAUUCGACUUUUAAAUUAUUAUUUUAUAAAAAAAAAUACAUAAUAUAUUACAUUUUUAGUCCUCAAACUAUGAGGCGCAUGACAUUUUGGUUUUCAAAUUUUAAUUUAUAGUAAUUUUUUGCUAAAAUUUUUUAAAUUAUUGCAAUUAAGUCUCACAAAUCAAUUUAGUUGACUAAAUAUUGAUGUAUUGAUAAUGUAUAAGUGAUGUAUCAUUUUAAUCAUUGCUGUGUUAUUAAUUAUAGCACUACCACAUCACUUAUAUAUUUGUUGCACGCGAGUAUUUAAUCAAUUAAAUUGGGUCACGGGGUUUGUUUAUAAUAAUUUAGAAAGUUUGAGAUAAAAAUUAAUAUAAAUUAAAAUUUAAAGCCUAAAAUGUCAAACAACCCAACCAAAAGUAUAAUUUAUCCUAAAAUAUAUCAACUAGGUGAGAUAUGCCAUGUCACCACCAAAUCAUGCAUGGCAAGAUAUUACAAAUAGCAAAACUCAAAUUGUACAAAAUAAUAUAUAUAUUUUUGGUCCUUAUAGUGCCUAUAUAAUAUGUUUAACAAAAGCAAAUAAAAUAAAGUUUGUAAUACAUUUUCUUAUUAGGAUGUUUGACACAUUUUGUGGGCCUCCUCAAACUUGACCUGGUGCAUUGUUAAAAAGUAAUGCUACCCAUACUUCUUACACUAAUUUCAGUUUUUUGUCCAGUAGCCAACAUUUUUUAAUCGUCACGUAAUAUGUUUAUUAAAAUCUAUUUAAAUUUUAUAAACUCUAGAAUGGUAAGAUAUAAAUUGUACAUCCCUAUAAAAGAAAAAUAUUAAGAAUAUGAUAGUUGCAUUGCUGAUGUGGUGUUUCUUACCAAAACAUUAGAUAUUUUUUAAGCUAAUUUUUUUUAUUUAAGCAAAUAAAAUAGUUGCAGAAGAUAUAUUGUCCAGUUUAGACAGCUUUUCAGUCUUUAAAAAGAAAGAAAAUGUAAAAUUUUAUUCGCAUCUAAGAAAAAAAAGUUAGCAUUAGCAUCUGCACCCGAAGAAGGGAUUAUAAGGCGUUCCCUCGUGUAUCCUCAAAUUGCUCUCAUGUGGCUCACCCAUUCCAUCAUGUCUUUUAGAAAAAUAUUUUUAUUAUACUUUUCUCUCAGAAAAGGACAUGUGGUUGAUUAGAUAUAGGUAAUGUGGUGUACCAGUUACUAUGAGGAAAAAUUCUAGAAUGCACCGGGUGCAUUGGUGACGUGGCGUCACAAACCAAUCAAAUAUCUUCUUUUAGAGAUAUAUGUCCCAUCAUGAUGGUAAAAAAAUAAUUUUAUUAUACUUUUGUUUGAAAAGAAAAGAUAUGAUUGGCUUGUUAUUGAUGACGUGGUGUAAGUAUGACAGUGUAGAAUUCCUCUACUAUGAGAGAUGUACGCAUAGCAUUUUCCAUGGUUAAAAGUGGUCUGCAGCUGACGUGGUGAACUCGGUCCACGCACUCUCUCUCUCUUCAUGUCGUAAGAUAUGAUGCACAGGCGUCCACCCAUUAGCAGUAUCCGACCGAACAUACGCACCUCCUAGACACUCCACUAUAACUCGACACGUGUCCUACUAACCACCACACGGACACGUGGCUUCUUUCGACGACACCGUCGUAGUAUAGAAUAAUGCGUCUUAGAAAUGUCGCCUUGAUAAGGUGAAAAUGUAUGGAGAUCCUCUCAACUGCUGCGUAUUCUCAAUUACAGUCACAAAUUUUCAUAUUUUUUUUAAAAUUAAGCAAUUUCAGUCAAAUAAAUUGAAAAAAUUAUCAAAUGUAUUAUUAAAAUAAUCAAAUUUACUAAUUCUUUAGUACAAAAAUUAAUAAAACAAACUCAAAUAAAAAAACUUAAAAAAGUUAAACUUGAGGACCCAUUUUAAAUAAUGCGUAAAGUGGCAGGGCCUCUAUGCAUUUUUUUACCUUGUUAUUAUAAACCACUUAGAUGACCUUUCCAUUUCUCCUUCCCCUCUCUCUCGUCACCGUUUUUCCCAAUUCACACACCUCUCCCUCUCUCUAUUUGAGGAGCUCAUAAAUUCAACUAAAAAGCUGUAAUUUGAGGCAAGAAAUUUGGAUUUUUCUAUUUUUUUCGCAUUUUUCUUACUCCCUUUUGAGGAAAAAAUUGUUUUUUUUUCAGAAAAAACUCCUGUUUUUUUGGUGAUUUGAAGUAGUAGUUUUGCGUAGAAACCUUGAAAAUUUGUGUUAUUUCUUGUAAAAUUGGCUCUUUUUUUUUUAUUUGUGAAGUGAACUCAAUCAAAUUUUUAGUGUAAAUUUUUGACUUGAGAUUUAUUGUUUAGAUUACUUAUGUAUUUUGCUAUGAUGUUUGUUCUUAUUGCUGUGUUAGAUCUGGUAAUUUGUAUAUUUUAGAUGAUAUAGGGAUGUUUCGAAUUAGGUACUUGAACUUUUCAAAAUUUUGAUUUUGAUUUUAUUCAGGUAAAACUGUAUGGAGAUUAAGUAAAAAAAAUUUCUCAAAUUUAAUGGCUUUAUUAUUUAUUACCUGUUAAUUGGUCCAGUUUUAUUUGCUAAAAAGUGAGUAAAGUAAUUUGAUUUGGUAAAUUCACCAAUGAAUUUGAGAAAAAUCCCCAAAUUGUUUUUGAGUAAAAGCACUCAAUUGAAAUGAAUUAGAACUUUGGUGUACAUGUUGUUCAUUUUUAUCUAUUAAUUGUUACCAGGUAUAAUUCACAAAUUGGGUAUUUUGGAAUUUGCGAGUAAUUGAAGUUGUGAAUCUCGGUGAGCAUAGUUGCUGCUGAUUUUUCGAACAAGGAUGCUGGAUAAGUAGUUUUAAGUAAGCAAAAUCAUGUUUUUCAACCUGCGCCCGCGGCGGGAGACGAGCCGCGGAGGCCCGUCCCGGCGGGAGAAUCAGAGAUUUGCUCGCGAGGAAGCAUUUGUUAUCGACGAUGAAGUAUCUCACCUCACUAGGCUCAGAUCAGAACCGAGUGAGAAUUACCGGAGAGCCAUGCGCGCCGGUCGCAAGAUGCCGAUCUCAACCUUUAAGAUGCUGUCGGGGAGGGAAGAUAAUUGCUCCCGGACCGGGAGAUUCUCUUUAGCUGAUCGCGCAUAUAUUCUCGGCCAAUACUUGCCCGUCAACGGCCCGCGUUGCGUGGACGAUAUGGAUAGUGAAGCUUAUGUUUCACAGUUCUCUGCCGAUGGCUCACUAUUCGUCGCAGGUUUUCGGGUACGUCGUAGAUUGGUUUUGGAUGGAAAAUUAUUUGUCAUCAUCUUAUUCAAUGGUGCUAAUUUACUCAUCUCUUCAAUCGAUGCUUUAGGGCAGCCGCAUCAAAAUAUACGAUGUGGAGAGCGGAUGGGAAGUGCUGAAAGAUGUUAGCGCCCGGAGUUUGCGAUGGACGAUCACUGACACUUCUCUCUCGCCCGAUCAGCGAUUCCUUGUGAGUCUCAAGUGCAGUUCAGCGGCCAUAGUUUGAAUAUGGAUGGGAGUUUGCUUUCACAUUUAAAUAUUAGUUGUGAACAAUCUAUUCGUCUCAAUCAACUAACCGGCCCCAACUUUCUUCGAUUUCCGUGAUUGCCAUUAGCAUGCGACUUGUCUCGGUUUACACCUAAUGCUUAGAUGAUUUUAGGGGUGGGAGUAUUUUAUUUUAUUUUAUUUUCUUUAACUUUUUAGAUUUUGGUAAAUGACUUGCAAUUAUGGUGAUCUUCGGCGGCUUCUGACUUGUUUUUCAGAAAGAAACAAUAUUUUAGGCUUUCGUAGGUCCGCAUGUCGGCCAAAAUGGACUAAUUUGGGAAAGACUUUAUUUGGGAACUGCUAUGUAAUGCCAGUUUCAUCUAGAGACAGGAUUUUCAUUUUUGGCGCGUUAUUGCUUUCAUAAUUGUGCACUUAACUAAGUUUGACUGAUUCUGUCGCAGGUUUACAGCAGUUUGUCGCCUAUUGUUCACAUAGUGAAUGUGCGGGGUGGUGCGACAGAUUCUCGCGCUAAUGUUACCGUACGUACAGCUGGCCUUAUGGUUUGAUGAGGCGCAAUUACAACAUGCUCUUUGUUUGUCGUCGAGUCAUUAAUUUUGUUCCAUGAUGCAGGAGAUUCACGAGGCUUUGGACUUCUCCGACCCAGCUGACGAUGAAAGCUCCAUUGGAAUAUUUUCUGUACAGUUUUCGACCGAUGGACGAGAGCUUGUUGCUGGGAGCAACAAUGAUUCCAUAUAUGUCUACGAUCUCGUAGCAAAUAAACUGGCGCUGUGCUUUCCAGCUCACACUGUAUGGAUACAGCAUCCGAAUUUAUUAAACAGCCGCACUUGUUAGUUUAUAGUUGUUCUUGUGAUGUUCUUUCUUUAUCGUCUACGCGAGUUUCUUUGAUUCAUUUACGCAGUCCCAUUUUUAUUUUAGCAACAUUGCAAUGGAAUAAUAGAUUCUCGGUUUCACCUAUCUUGUAUUGCAUAGCAUGCUAUUCUCGUCGUUGUUAUUCGAAGCCGCCUUAAAGUUACAAAAUAACCUUAAAUCCUCUCUCUCUCUCUCUCUCUCUCUCUCUCUCUCUCUUGUUUUUUUGUUUUUUUUUGGGGGGGGAAACAACCAAUAUUCUCUUGACAGGAAAUGAAUUGAAUUGCUGCGGACAUCAAAAUUACAUGGCUUUCCGAAAUAUUGAGAAACUAAAUAUAAGUGAUAAAGAUAUUAUAGACAAAAAAAAACUUCUCUGCAUGUAUUGGUAUCGAAUUCCCCUAAUAAAUACUUGGAUUUUUUAGUUUCUUUCUGAGUGUCAUUUGUAAGAAAUUUUUGUGCAUCCCGCAACAUUUUUGCGUUAUAAUAUGAAAAUACAAUUUUUUUUUUUCUGUAUAAAAUAAUUUUUGUUGCUUCUCCAAGGCCGACAUCAAUGUAGUCACCUUCGCUGAUGAAACUGGACAUGUCUUAUAUUCUGGAAGCGAUGAUACGCUCUGUAAGGUGAGUUACCCCUCGUUUAUCAGUUUAAUCAAAAGUGCGUUAUGCGGCUAAAUUCGAAGGCGUGCGUUUAGAGAUAGCGUGCGCUUUUACUUUAUUGUUCAUGGAUCGUUUAGGUUUGGGACAGACGAUGCUUUAGAGGAGAAAAACCAGCUGGGGUAUUGACAGGUCAUACAGACGGGAUCACAUUCAUCGACAGUCGCGGAGAUGGUCGCUAUUUCAUCUCCAACUGCAAGGAUCAGACCAUCAAACUUUGGGACAACAGGAAAAUGUCCUCCACCUGUAAAUAGUGAGUGAUGCUGUUUUUGUUUUAUUCUUGAUUUUAUUAUGCUCGUCGCAUGGACUUUUUCUAUAUGUUCUCAAAAAGAUUUAUGGUCUUUAUGUAACAUGUAUCCAAUUCUAAGAACUGUAAUCGCUCUAUCGAGAAUUCGACUGUAUUUUUCAUAUAGUAGUUAAUUACUAUGUUGACGUCCUGUGAAACCUACUUUUUGUUGAUCCGUAUUUGUUGCGAUCGAAUGCAGUGCAAUGCCGAAAAAAUACGAGUGGGAUUACAGAUGGAUGUCGUACCCGCCGGAAGCCAGAUACUAUAAACAUCCCCAUGAUCAGUCUCUGGCGACAUUUAGAGGCCACUCCGUCUUGAGCACGCUUGUUCGCUGCUAUUUCUCGCCCGCACAUUCGUGAGUGCCGUUACUAUUAUUAUCAUUAUUUUCUUUGAGUUGUAACUUGUAACAUAGCUAAAGUUUCUUUAUAUUGUAAGCAUACAAUCUCCAUCUGAUUAUAUCGUCGUCUCGAUCAUUCGUGACAGCACGGGUCAGAAGUACAUCUACACAGGAUCCAGCGACAAGUGCGUCUACAUUUAUGAAGUGGUAUAAAUCUCUCCGCAUGUAGUAUGCUAAAAUAGAUAUAAUUCCUAAAUCUUUUUCAAUUCGAAUCUCCAUCAAAAUUUGUCAUGUUUUUAUUUUUUUAUGAUCCUUAAUUGAUUCUGCGGGGCCUUUGAAUCCGUUCGGCUCAUUGAAGCUUUCAACACAAGUGUUUUUUGAUUUGAGUUGAGUUGGUCGAACUAGCAGAAGCUCCAAACUCUUUAUUUGUUAAAAACCUGACUUCUGCUUCUCGAAUACAGAAGCCGUUUCGUCUUCUAUUCGAUAAUUUAUCUUAAUUCGCAACGAUUUUUGCUAGGUAACUGGAAAAGUAGUCGCGAAGCUAUUGUGGCACGAAUCGAUCAUAAGGGACUGCAGCUGGCAUCCGUACCAUCCGUCGCUCGUCAGCUCGUCGUGGGACGGCUGCGUCGCUCGAUGGGAAGCUUCGCGGACCGAUUCGGACCGGUAGACGUGGAUUCGUCGCAGCCGCACCCCCUCUGCUUCGACGAAUUCGGGGUUCUAAUUUACAAUUCUUAGUGUGACAUGCUGAAACAACUGUAAUGUUUAAUAAAAAGUUCUGUACAUAGAUUUUGAAAGGCAGAUAAUGGUGAAUUGUUGGUGGAUUGCAAUAAUGUUGUCCUCUUAGAGAAAUAUGUAUCGUAACAACUUUGGUAUAUGGUAAUUUAUAUAUUUAUAUAUAGAUCAUGAUUUUUACAAAUAAUUUGGAAAAUUUCCCGACUUUUUUUUAAUCUUUUUUAAACGAAUCUUCAAUUUUUCAGCAAAAAUUCUUGCCAAGCAUCUUUCAGAAGUAUCUAAAGAGUGUUCUGUGGCUAUAAAUAUGUGCAAAAAUAUGGGAAGUGUGAAUAAAAUUCUGAUAACAUUGUUAGAGGGGUUCGGAUCCAACUUAAUAACUUAACAUCUCAAUAGUCUCACAUUGUAUUCUCAAAAAAAUAAUCUCACAUUGAGUGGAAAAGGAAAAGAACUUUCGUGUUGGAAUAUAAGGAUCAAGUACUUUAUGGUAUUGUUACGAUUGUUACGACAAAGGCACAAAGAGAAAUGAGAAAUGUGAAGGUGAAAUAGAUAAAUCACAAAACAGUAAAAAAAACACAAAAAUUUACGUGAAAAAUUCUUUACAGAAAAAAAAAAUCACGGGCGUAUGAGAAAAAAACUUCACUAUAAAAAAGGGAGUACAAAGUUUACGUAUCGCGUCUAAGGCAAAAAGAAGGAAAUUUCAUAAUGGAUUUCUUCAUCAUCGGAUCCGAUGCCUACCGCGGGGAUAUCCCGACCUCUCUGCUAUUCACUACAGAUAUCUAUUUUUUCUUCAUAAUUAUUUUUUUUAAAUUUUAUCGCACUGUGAACAAAAUCAAAAUCGAUAACUAUAUUUCGAGACACAUCUAUCAACUUGUCAGAAGUGUAGGAAUUAUGUAUUAUGCAGGACCCAAAAAAGAGAUUAAACUCUUUAAUCCUAUUAAUUUGGAUUUAAGUAUUUUGUUACUGGACCGAGUCGUUACACUACGGUGACAUCUAUUGUAGAUUUAUGAUGUUGAAAUGUGAACAUGAAAAGUAAGUAAUAUCUAAAGUUUAGACAUGGGACAAGAGGUCUUUUCAAUUAUCUACCUACUUGACAAUUUUUUAAUUAUUAUUACCCUAAACCCUUUUUUAUAAAAAAAAAUUCUCCACAAAAUCAAGUUUCAUGUGAUCUAAGCAACCAGUGAUAAUUUUUAAAUGGCUGUGUUUUCGCAAUUUUGUUGGACCGAAAAAGGGAUUUUUGAAUAAUUUUUUCUUCUGCAGGUGAAGCAACAAUUAUCCAAGAUUCUUAAUUGACAAGUUAUCAAUACCUACUACAAAUACAAUGACUCUUUUAGCUCAAUCACAGGGUUUCCCUCAGGAGACCUCGGAACUAUUUUGAUAGCAUUUAUUCAGAGUUUGGACUCCAUUUAGGAACAAUUUUGUGGCGCGUGUGCACGUCGCGAGAGAGCACUUAAAGUGUGAUUGGAUAAGCACAUGUUUGAAAAGAUUAUUUUAGUACGCACGCCACUUGCGCAUCAAUGCUGAAUGGAGCUUUGGUCGUUUCUCGUCGUUCUAUUCAAACAUUAUUUCUUACAAGAAUAAUAUUUUAAGUUCCGAUAACUGCACUCGGUGCACUUUUAGUGUUAAAAAGCGAGAAGUUAACUUUUUUUACUUAUUGAAAAUCACUACAUAAAUGAGAAACCUAAACUAGUAAUUCCCCAAUUUGAUUUAGGUCUCUGUAUCAGGAUUUGUUUUGGGGUCUCUCCUAACUGCUAUAUCAUUUUGAAGAUACAAAUCAUGCUUUAAGCAUGUUCUUUUUCGAGUUCUUUAUUGUUUUCGCCUGGUACAUGGAUUUGAUUACAAAUGUGGAAAUAUGAAAACAGGAUCUUGAAAUUCAAGUGAGUUGGAGCCCUUUACUUACUCUUAUCGGAAUACUGGUAAGUAAAUAAUCUUAAAAAAAUGCACAUAGUAUCAUUUGAUUAAUGUGGAUAAUAUUUAAGAUGAUUUGGACCAUUUUCUCAGUUAAAUGUGAUUAUACUAAUAAGAUAUAUAAUGCAAACCAAGAAAAAUAAAAAGGAUGGCAUGUUGGUUAGUUAGUUUAUGAAUUUGACUUAGCACCAUUUUCCUUUUUUUUGCACAAGUCUAUUCCAAAAUUGCCCUUAAUUAUAUUUUAUAAACUUUUUUUUAAUGUUUAUAAUAAGAGAAAUGAUUCGGUACUUUUUUUUAAAAAAAAUAAAAAAGAUCUUAACCGUUGAUUAAUAGAGGGUAAAAAUGUAACUUUAAUACUUAGGUAGUAAAACGAUUAUUUUAUUCAAAGUUAGUUUGGUAAUUAAAUAAUACAAUAUUUAAAGAAACUUUUAAUUGAUCCUAAAUUUAUGCAUUAAUUAGUACUAAUUAUUUAAAAUUAAUUAAUUAAUUAACCAAAUUUAUGAAUUAUUAGCAUUAAUUUAGGAAUCUACUUUAAAUGUUUUAGGUGUCUCAAAUUAUGCAUUAAUUUAAAUUAUAAAAUUUUAGAAAUAGUUUUAUUUCUAAAUACGAUGAAUUAAAUUUAAAAUUAAAUACUUAAAAUUUAAAAGUGAAAAUUAAAUUAGAGGAAUUCAAUUACAUUUAAAAACUAAAUUCUACCAGAUUUAAAUACAGUUUUCGCAUCAGUUUAAAACGUAAUGCAUAAAAAAUCUUAGAGAGUAAGAUUUCUACAGUAGAUUUUCUCUAAAGGAAUUUAUAUUACUAUAUUAAAUUUAAUCAAUGAUUUAAAAACUAGAUUGAACUGAUUGAUUUGACUGAUCAGACUUGACUAUUCUAUCAAGAAUCUGAUUUUAAUUAUUAAACUGAAUAACAUAAGAACAAUUUGAAACCGGUAAAGAUAAUAAAUAUUUUAAUACAGCAUAAUAAUUUAACUGUUAGAGCUAAUAAAUUUUUAAAUAUAAUUUUAAACAUAUAAAUUAAAAAAGAUAUAGAUUAGUGGUGAGAAAAAAAUAGUUAGGAAUUUGAAUUUGAUCUGACAUAACAAAUCACAAAAACUUAUUUCCGAAUCGACAGAUUUCAAAAUCUAUAUCCAAAUUCAAACGAACCGAAUUUUUCAAAACCCAAAUCAAAACCUAAACAGAAAACUAGAUUCAAACAAUUAUUUGUUUUCCAUAUUCAAAAUAUUUAUAUGAAACUUAAAUUUUUAAAAUAUAAAUUUGAAUAUAAUAUUAAAUUUAAAUUAAAAGUGAAAUUUAAAUUAGAGAAAUUUUAUAUUACUAUUUAAAUUUAAAUUCAAUGAUUCAUAUGUCAAAUCAUUUGAAAUUUCCUUAUAUGACAUAGCCAAAUUAUGAAAGGAAAGAUAGAGAGAGCAAAAGGAAACAAAAGAAAAAAUAAAAAUUUGUGAAAAUAUAGUAGAUAUAAAAUGACUAAAUUGUCCAUGUAUUAAAAGACAAAAAAUUCCUUUUUGAGGUACCUGGUAAUCCGGACUCUUCCAAAUGACUCGCUAUGCAGGUCACAAUUUAAAAAAAACUAAAUCUGAGUUCGUUGAAUACGCUGAAGAAUGGUAACCGAAAAAAAAAGUAUAAAGCAUUACUCAUAAAAUAAUAUUUUUGUACUAAUUUUAUUUUAAUAAUUUAAUUUUUUAAAAUUUAAAUUUGAAAAAAAUAUAAAUUUAAUAUUUAAAAUUUAAAAAUAUAGAUUGAAAUUUAUAAAUUAAAUCUAAAAAUAAAUAAAAUAUAAAUAUAAAUAUAAAAUUAAAAUUAAAAAUCUAAAUUUAAAAUUCAGAAAUUAAAAAUAAAAAUUUGGAAUUGAAAAUUGAAAAUUGAAAAUUGAAAAUUGAAUUUCAAUUUGAAAUUCAAUUUAAAAUUUGAAAAUUGAAAUUUAAAUUCAAAUUUAAAAUAUAAAAUUUAAAAUUUAAAAUUGAAGUUUAAAAAUUUAAAAUUUAAAAUUUUAAAAAUUUAAAAUUUAAAAUUUUAAAAAUUUAAAAUUUAAAAUUUAAAAUUUAAAAAAUUAAAAAUUAAAAUUUUAAAUUUUAAAUUUUAAAAAUUAAAAAUUUAAAAUUUAAAUUAGACAAUUCAAAAUUUUAAAUUAAAUUUUUUAAAAUGACGUAUUAAAAGGGUUUCGAGUAUUACUGGCUUUCAGUAAUCCAAGAUACACUCCUCCCAUCUCGUUAAUAUUUUUGGUGUAGUCCUGCACUUUUUAUAAUGUUACAUUACCGAUCCGAUUAUAUACCAGAUAAAUCAAACACAGUAAUCCUGUCAGGAUAACCUGAACCAAAUGCACUCUUAGAGGUAAGAAAAAUAAGCUACUCAGUAUUUCUCAAAAUGUCGUAAUUGAAAUUAACAAGAUUUUUGGAACAUAAUAUUCAAUCGGAUUAAUGCAGAUAUUGCCUCUCAACUUUUUUAUUUUUACUAAAACCCAUUUGGAUUUUUAUCAAUCCUAGAAUGAGAGUGUAAAAUCUACGCCUCUCUUUUUGGUGUAUAAAACUUUGCAACUUCUGGCCAUUUUGAAAUGCCCCCUUAAUUAACUUUCAUUUUUUUCAAUUAAUACUUUGUUAAAUUUUUUUUUAAAAAAAAAUACUUGAAAUAUUCUAAUAUGUUAAUUUUGUCAAAUUUGAUAGAAUUUAGUAGCUAUUGUUUGUUAACUAUUAUAGUCAAGUAUUGUCUUUGCCGAUAGCACUAUCCUAUACUAUUCAUGUCGUAUCGUGUCGGUGGCUUACCGACAUGUGACUAGCCACCGACACGAUACGACAUGAGUCUAUAUCACUGGGCACUCAAAACUAUAGAUGUGCUAUAUUAUAUCAUUAUAUACUGCCCUAUAUACUCGGUAUAUCAUCUCUAUAUCACCUCUUGCUCAUUCGUGCCGAACAAGCACAACUUGGUAUAGAUCUAUUUACUUUUUUUUUCAAUUUGAAGGGGUCAAAAGAGAUUUUUUUUUUUGAUAAAUUCACCUUAAUGACUAUGUUCGCAAUUAUAACAAAAUAUACAAGCACCAAAAGAGCUUUUACUAGAAUCAGCAAUAUUUAUAUAGUCAAGGAUCAAUCUAAUAACCGAUUAUGAUAAUUAUCAGUAUGAUUCGCCUAAACACUCACUGUACCAUUAACAAUAAAAGAUAAAACUUUAGACUCCAGUGGAGACAGUUUUUCAAAAACAUUUUUGGCUUAUAGGCCCCUAACUUUAAGAAAUUAUUUAGAAUUAGUAUCUAAACACUAUAAAAAAUAAUAAUAAUAAUAAUAAGUUGAGAGCACAAACUCUUAUUUUUUUGAGACGCACUCAGCAAAAGUUCAAACUUUCGACCAUUUGGAUAACCUCCCCAAAUAACAACCAACUUUAAUGCUUGUUUUGAGAAUAUACCUUGAAUAGUGGGGGGAAACUCAAAAGCAUUUUAAAAUUUUCCUCCUUUAAUGGUAAAAAAAUAGUAGUGCUUGCUAUUCUAUGUGCAUCCACUCUACCAUUUUAUUUUAUUAUAUUAUUAAAAUAAGAAAACUUUAAAAUGCUCUUAGGCUUCGUUUGGCAUUACGGGAAGAUUGUGUUACGUGCGGUGAAAAAGUAUGUUGGAAAAAUAUCCUGUUUGUUUUCGUACGUAAUAUUGCGUUCUGCAUAUUGCGAUGAGUCGGUUACGAUAUACUUUUUGCGGUCCCAUCAAAGAACGCAGAAGUAUAUCCCCAUAUACUUUUUUUUCAACUCUAUUUUAUUUUAUCUAAUAGCGUUUGAUAAGUCUCAAUACCAAACUAAGUCUUAAUUUUUUUUUUUUUAAAAAAGGAUAUUCUUUUUUGGUUAAUAAUGCAAAGCGAACGAGGCCUCAGCAGUGGGUGGUCGAGUUGAGGGGUCAAUUUCAAAAUUGCUUAUAGAUUAAGGACUCCGUACAUUUUUAUCUAUUUAAUAAUUUAGCAUUGCUAAGCGUACCUCAUAUGGUCCCCACAAUAUUGUAGAGUAUAUUGUAUCGUCCUCGUUACAUUUUAAAUGUGAUUACUAAAUUCCAAAUACCAUCAACAAUAUCAUAUAUAGAUUAUAGAGUAGACAUUCUGAAUACAAAAAUCAUUUCUCGUAGGGUCUGUUUGGUUCAACAUAAAACUGUGAAAAAUAGGUUUUAUAGAAAAAAAUUUCCUAUGCAAAAAAAGCUUUACAUUUUAUAGUGUUUAAUUUGUAGGAAAUUUUUUUUUUUCACCAAUAUUUGUAUAGUUGAAAUGAAAAAAAAAAAUCACAUUCGUUUAGUUCGGCGGGAAAAAAAAGUUUUUACAUAGCUCGAAUUUUCGUUUUUUGCUAAAAAAAUAGUGAAAAACGAAAACUUCAAUUUUCUUCUUUCAAAUUCGUAAAAAUAUUUUAUAUUAAAUCAAGCAAACGAAAAAAUAUUUUUUAUACCAAAAAUAAUUUUUCGAUUUGUGUUACGCCCAUCCAAACACCUCUUUAAUAAUUUAAGGGGAACAGAUCGUCCUUACCGUAAAGUAGUAAAGAAUUUAAUAGUUGGAAUUCAAAAUUUCAAGUUCAAAAUUUAAUUACUUUAUAAUUUCAAACUCUAAAUUAAUUUUUUUUAAAAAAAUAAAUAAAACGGAUAGCAUAUUAUUUUUCUCUUAAAAAAAAAAAAAAUCUGGCGGAAGCCGGUAGGAAAAAGAUAACAACACGUUUGGAAGGUGGCUGGCCGACGACUUUUACGCGGUCUCCAGUCUAACUCCCCAAUUUCUUCCCUAUAAAAUCCCCCAAACCUCUCAACCCAGAAGAACACACCACACUAACAAAUUAAUACGUCCCUACGUAGAUAGCGUAGAUAGUAGAUAAUAGAUACAUAAGAUAUAGAUCACGGCCAUGGCCACGGAGAUCCUCCGUCCUCGAGCCGUCCUCGCCUCCGUUCCUGCUCGCAUUCGACAUAAUUAUCGGAGACCGCAGUCGAAUUCCGAUCCCAAAUCCAAACCACCCUUCCGAAAAUCGUCUCCGAAGCCGCCUGCGGCCGACGCAGCAGCUGCAGCUGCGACGGCGGCGAAAAUCAUAAAGUAUAGGAAGACAAAGAUGGAGGAGAUGUAUGCCGGGUCGGCUUUCUCCGCCUCUCCGGCCCCCAGCUCCGUCCCGCUCCCCAGCUUCCGCGUAAGUCGGAGAGAACCGUCUUCGUCGUCGUCGUCGUCGUCGCCGCCGCCGCCGGAGAAGCAAGCGGUGGAUUACGCCGCCACGCGGGAUCUGAGACGGAUCCUGCGGUUGUAGAGAUUGAUCUUCGAGUCAUCGAGAUCGAAAAAGAGAGACGAUCGUAAUGAUGAUUCGGUUCGAAUUUUUAGCAGACGGCGGGGCAUCCCAAGAAGAGAAUCCAAGAAGUGGGAAAUAAUUAUUAGCACAAAAAAAAAAAAAAAAGCACGAAUUUCAAAGCGCCGCGUGAUUGGUCACAGCCCUUAAUUGAAAUGUACCGUGUUAGAAAUAAAUAGGGAAAGAUUAGGAGGAGUUUGUUGCAAUUUGCGGCCCCUAAUUAAACUCCCUAAUCAUUAAUAAUUGGAUGCUUAGUAUUUGUAGCUGGGUUUUAGCUGGAGGAGGAGUUUAUUAUUGGUGUAAAUUAAUGUUUCUCUUUUUACACUUAUUAGUUUGUGUAGUAAACGUAAAUAAUUCUAGUUUAAAAUAAUUUCAACAUUUCUUGAGGUUGUUAUCUUAAAAUGUUAUCUUAAAAGUGUGAAAAUGCACCAGUAAUGGCAAAAACCAAUUUGCUUAAAUAAAAAUUUAAAAUUAAAUUUGAACAAUAUGUGUAAUGAAAUUAAUUAAUUUGUUGAGUACGCGACUACCACUAACUUGUGAGUAUCAAAUUGGGUUUUGUGUAAUUUAUUUGAUUAAAAAUUAAUUAGCAUUCUAAACGCGAAAAUAAAAAAAAAUGAUCUUAAUUAAAAUUCGAACCAAUUGUUGGACUCAGCAUUAGGUAUUUUGAUUCAGUCUCCUCUCUCUAUCAUCACUCUUAAAAAAAUUAUUUUAUUUAUCAGAACCACUAAAAUAAUUAAUUUUGAAAUUUUGAUUCAAUACCUAAGUCAGAUUAACUUUACUAUAUUGGAGUUUUAUAUAAAUUCUACAUAAAAAUGUACAGAGACAACCCUCAUCUAUAGACCAUCGCGAAACGGUCCGCUCAACUAUAAUUUUUUUUAAUUAGCUAUUAGUUAUUAAUUAUUUAUUUUAAUUUUAUUUGCCAAAAAUGAUCAAAAUUAUUAAAUUUAUUAAAGUUACUCAUAAGUUUGAUAAUAUUUCUAGCUGAUAGAAAUCACUUAAAUGUAAAAAAAAUAAAAAUUAAGGGAGUGAUUUCAUAAUGGCCAAUAGUUGAGGGGGGUCUCCAUUAAUUUUAAAAUUAAAUUCUAUCAUUGUCUUAGUUGUUGGGUUUAGCCCAUAAAACAAGCCAUGAGCCAGAUGCUCCCCAACUAACGCAACUACCCCCAAGUAAAAAAUAAAACAAAAUAAAAUAAAAAUUUUAUUGUCCAAUGACCCAUCACGUAAAUUAUUGUGGCUUUCUUUGAUAUUGAGGCACAUCUGACGCUGCUAAAUGAAAUAGAAUUGAAAUAAAAGCAUAUAGAGAUAUACUUUUGCGUUCUCUGAUGGGACCGUAGAAAACAAACAAAAUAUUUUUUUAUCGUACUUUCUUACUGCACGUAACACAAUCUUUUCGUGAUCCCAAAUGAAGCUUAUGUAACUCUAGUUUUAAGAUGAAUGCUGCUCGUACAUCUUUCAUAAAGGUAUAUAUCUUAUAUCCCGAAUUAUAGUUAAAAUAAAAAAACGAAGUUGAUUAGACAAAUGGAGUAAUUUGAUUUACAAAAGAUUUAUGGAUGUAAGUUUACAUCUAUUUAUUGGUUGUAUGGAUCCCUCAUUUGCUUUUAUUAAAGAAAAAACUUUAAAUACCGCCCUAUAUAUAGUUUUGCGUCUUUUCUUUUUAGUAUCUUAUAAUUUAAAAUGUAUCAUUUUAGUAUCAAAUGAUUUUAUUUUUUUUUUUUUGUCAUUCUUUAUAUUAUUUUUUUCAUUCAAUCGGUGACGAAGUUAAAAUUAUAGGGUAUCAAAGUAAAAGUUUGAUAAACCAUAGAAUAUUAAAGUAAAUAUUUGAUAAAUCAUAGGCCAAAUAUAUGGAGUUUUUGUAUAUGACUUAAUGGAGAGUAAAUAGAGAUACUAAUAAAAAGAGAAAAAUAAAAUUACGGAAUAUUAAAAUAAUAUUUUUUAAAUUAUAAAGUACUAAAAUGAGAAAGCAUGAAAUCAAAAAAAUAGUAUUUGAAAUUUAUCAUUUAUUAAAUGAUUUAUUUGAGCUUCUGGCUUUUCUAAUUGUCUUUAAAUAGUUUAUUCGUGUUUUCUUUUGAUCUUUCCAAGUACAACAGGUCAAGCACUUUUGACUUGGGUGAUACUCAAAAUUAAAAAUUAUUUAUGAAUCAUUUUGUGUCAGAUUAGUCUAUUGUAUAAUAUGAUAUGAGAGCCAUAUUAAACUCUCUCGAAAAUUAUAAUACCAUUUAAUUAUCGUUUAUUUGAUAAAUAAAUCAGGUCAAUAAGCUAUGCACCUAGCGGUGCCCGUAUUUUUUGUGCUUAUUCGAGCUAGGGGUCAGUCCGGUCCGGUUUCAAAUUUAGGUCGAACCGUGCUUGACCAGAGCUACCAACUCUCUCGCCCAGCACGGCCCUUUGGCCUUGAAGUCGUGCUCUGGGCUAGCCCAUACAAAAUUUUAUAUAUUUAUUUUUAAAAAAUAUAUAUAUAAUAUAAAAAUAAACAAAUAAUUUUUUUUAUUUAAAAAUUUAAAAUUUACAAAAAUAAUUAUAAUAUAACAAAUAUUUAAGUUUUUUUUAAAAUAUACAUAUAAUUUUUUAUUUUUUUUUGGAAAAAAAAAUUGAAGAGUGUUCUUGGUUCAAUGAACCAAAAUUGUUUGGUAAAAUAUAUUUUAAUGCGAAGACAAACGACGACGUAUUCCGUUCUUACUUUAUUUAUUUAUUUAUUUAUUUUAUUUACCGCCUCACUUCACUGAAAAAAUUGCGCGCUAAUAAUUAAACGAAAACAAAAGCGAGCGCGUAGAGAGAGAGAGAGAGAGAGCGGGCCAUGGCGUCGUCGUCUUCGUGGGAGGAGGGGGACGCGGCGGCGGCGGCGGCGGCGGCGACGGACGUGGAGCUGCUGAAGAGGGCGUGGCGGAACGAGAAAGCCGCGCCGGAGAUCCUCCGAUUCGAAGCCGCACUCGUCGCCCGCGCCCGCGAGCAGAUCCAGCUACUCGUACUCCCCCCUAAGCCCUAAACCCUAACCCCAAUCCCCCGGGUUUCCGCUGAUCCCUUAUUUGGUUGUGUUUUCCUCUGCAAUUUUAAUGGUUUUGUUGUUGAUUCUGAGCGGCGCAUGCCUUUUUUUGACCUAAAGUUGACACUUCUAGGGUUUUCUUUCACCGAUUAGAGCAAAAUUCCUGUGUAAUUAGUUGACAAUGGUUUGUGGACUGUGGAAUCAGGCGAUGCAAAUUUUGUUUGCCAUAAAGUUGGAAUUUUUAUCCCUUUCUUUCACCAUUCAAAGCAAAUUACUAGAUAGUUUGGUUAUAAUAGGUAAUGGACUGCGGAAUCAGGAAGAUUUUGUUAUGGAUGCCCUGUGAGCUGCAGUUUUUUUUUUUUUUUUUUUUGCCCUAAAAUUGAAAAUUUUAGCCUUUUCUUUCGCUAAUGAAAGCGAAUUACUUGAUUGCUCGGUUAAAUCAUGUAAUAAAAUGUAGAAACAGGAAGAAUUUGUUGAUGUAAACCUCUUUUUUGCCCUAAAGUUGAGAUUUUCAGACUCUUCUUUCACUAAUUAAAGCGAAUUACUGGAUAAAUCGGUUAAAUUGGGUAAUGGGCUGUGGAAUAAGGAAGAAUUUGAUGUAGAUUACUUGUGAUGCAUACCUGUGUUUUCCCUAAAUUUAAGAUUUUUUAGGAAAAAAUAUGCUGCAUCCCCCUUGAACUUUGGCCUUAUUGUGCGUAGUUGCCCGAACUUUAUAAAGUGCUUUUUUUUCCUUUUUAAGAAAGGUAACUUUUACUUUGUGUUAGUUACCAUGCCCAAUUUAUGUGAAAUUGUUGCUUAUUGUAGCUCGUUCAGUCAUUUGAACUGUAAAAGUUCAUGUUUUUCUCCUUUUACUUUUAAAUGCUUAGAUGAAUUUGGAGGUUUUGAGUUAUCUGAUCUCUAAAUAACUGUCAAUUGUUAAGAGAAAUUAACGGAAAAUUUGCCGUCAGGUGGCUUAUUGCAACGAAUUGAAAUUUCACAAAUAAUUCCCUUUUUUUCUCUUGAAGUUUGGGUGGCUAAGUGUAAUUGUGCCCAAAUUAGGGAAGUCGGAGCGGGGGCAUAUUUUUCCCGCAAUUUUUGCAUUUUCUUGCACCAAUGAAUAUGAAUUCCUGAAUAGUUUAAUUAAACUGGGUGAUGCACUGUGGAAUCAGGAAGAGACAGUGGAAGAGUUUAUGGAGAAUGGGGUUGAUGAUCUCGUCGUCUCCCUAUACCAAAUGGAUCUGGAUCGCACGCUCUUCCUAUUGAGAUCAUACCUUCGAAUCCGUUUGCAAAAGGUGAUGUACGACCUUUGAGAUCAUUUGUGGAUGUUGUGUUUGGAUGUAUUCGAGUUUAUGGAUUCGGCUUAUGUUAUUGCAGAUUGAGAAAUACAUGAUCCACAUCUCAAAAUCCAAUCUUUGGAAUCGGCUCUCUGAACAAGAGCAGAGGUUUGCUAAAAGGUAGGAUCUUUGGUUGUCCCUUUCCAUUGAUGUAAAAUCUUUAGUUUAAAAAUGUAAUAUAGGUCAUCUUGCAAAGAUCUUUCAAGUAUUUUUCUUUUGAUUUAUGGCCUCUCGAUUUCUGAUUUUUUUUUAAUUAAUCUUAUUUUCAUCGAUUAGAUUAGUUGAUGAGUGCCAUUUCAAAACUACAAAGUUGGAGGAAUACUAGCAGGCCUUUCCAUACAUUUUUAGCUUUUUGUAAAAUUGAUUUUGUUUAUUUCAACUCUUCUGAAGAUGAUUUGCGUUGCCAGGUGCACUGAGAUCAUGGAGAAACAUCUCGAACAGUCGGUGCUGUCAAAGUUGCCUUAUGGUUACCAAUCCAUGCUAAAGCAGUCAAUUUCAAGUGAAGAAGAUGACAUGGGUAUUCUCUUGAGCCUCCUAAUUUCAUAGUCAUCUACCUUUUUCUCUAUUAAGGUCUCUUUUUUCUUGAUUUACUAGUCCGACAUUCUAUUUGAUAAAAUUAGGAGUUUUUUAUGCGCCUUAGUUAUGUAAUAAUUGAGUUUGAUUAAUCUCACGAGAUAAGUUUUUUGAGAAAAUGCAUGGCAGUUGGUUCAGUUUUCUUGCUGCUGUAUCAUUCUUCUACAUAUUGACAAAUAGGAAUUGUACAAGCUAUGCUUCACACUUAAUAUUUGGCAAAGAAAUUCACACUGAAAAAUUUCUACUUUGGCUUGUGCCAAGUCGGCUCAUAACAGCAAACAAUAGCAGAUUAUGUUGAUGAUCUAGUUUGAAUGAUCUGUUCUUCGCCACAAAUAUUAGUUUGAUCCGUCUGAUUAGCUCUUCCUUUCAUUUGGUUUAUCCAGUUCCAGAGCCCCAGCUUGACACGUUCGUCUUCUGCAAGACAAAGGGUGCUGUUGGAGCAUUCCAGCUUGAUGACAUGUAAGUGCCUUUAAGUUUGCAUUUUCUUAGCACCAUUCGCUCUAUUCCGAUUUUAUUAACUUCACUUUAAUACCUUGAAGAGGGGAUGAGAUUGUGGACUUGGUUGCUGAUGACUUGUAUGUCCUUCGCUACAAAUCUAUAAAGGGUCUUGUUGAGAGCGGCCAAAUCGACCUUGUAUAACUUAUUCAGGAAAUGCGAAGUGGUAGUAUCUGAGCUUGGAAAGCCGAGGUGGUGCGUUUUUCUUCUCCUUGUUUGCCCUGAUGAUUUCAUAACUACUCUAAAUCUUCUUAAAUUUAAACUGUUAGAGGGGCGAUACAUUAUGAAACUUAUCCUGAUUACAGAGAAACUUGGAAAACUGCAAUAUAUGACAUCACAUUGUGAAAACUGGGGAGAUGUUAUCUUGAAAUUUCUUUUCUGUUGCAAAUGGAUCUCCCUCCAUGUAUUGUUGCUUUAUAAUUUAAUAGUGUACUCAGUUUGAAUCAAAUUUUCCGUUUUCAGGAUCUUGAGAAGUGAACUGAACCAAACUACAAUAUGCAAGUUGUGAACUGCCCAAACCAACAUGUAUCUAUUGCUGUUUGCUUUGGUUUAACCCUUUGUUUUAGAGCUGAAGAGUGAAAGCACGUGCUUUACAUUUGAGCUGGCUCUUUAGUAACUGCUCCGAAUUCAUAAAUUUCUUUUGAGAGAAACUCCGAAUUCAUAAAUUACCGCAAGUCUUCGCUUAUUUCGGUUUUGUUAUUCUGAAAGCUAAAGAUACUUUUUACGUUACAAAUGGCAGAGAACCUGAAAUUCGGACAUGCAACCUUCACCUUCACGGAUGCUCAGCGUUGCAAUCGUUGCAGAUACUCUUUUGUCUUGCUUAUAUGUGGUGGAUCAGGAAACAGGAUGCUUCGCGUUGAUUCGGUUUAUCUUUUGGGGGCCGUUCGUUUUCACCAGUUUGUACUUUGUACUUUCUAUUCGGAAUGAUGAGAUUGUCAUUGUGCAACUUGUACGAGAGUGCGUUAAGGUGCUUGUUGAAAAGUAACUAUAUGUCGCGAUGCUUCUUGUUCCUUCCAGCCCGAGUUGCACUAUAACUAUUGUCGUCAUUUGGAAUAUUAGAAAAUUUCGAACAUUUCUGGAAUGUUACAAAAUUGGUUGAUCGAGCGGCCCAGAAAAGUGUUGUCUAUGCCUCUUUCCGAUAUGAAAAAUGUUGCGGAUACUCUUUUAAAUCAACUUCAAUCAACUGUUCAUCUUACAGUGUUGUAAAUUGAAUUGAGGGUGUGUGUGUGUGUGUACCUUUGUUAUCCUUUUGAUGGUUGUUUAAAAAGAGAAACUUGUAAGUUGUAACUGGGAUAAUUCAUAGGUGUUUUUGUUGGACCCAUUUUUAAUUCCUAAUUUAUAUGGGUGGUUCAAAACGCAAUCUCAAGGUUGCAUGUGUAAUUCCAAAUUUCUAUAGUAAGUGUGAAUAAAUAGGUGAAAAUGUACUAAAAUCUUUAAAAAUUUUGAUUUUUGUGCGAUAUGUUCCUAUUUGUUUUUUUUUUCUUUUUUCUUUUUUUCUUGUUAGCUAUAUCAGUCAUGUGAGAGACUCUAAUUGAGCUCACUGAAAUAAUUAUUGGUUUUAACUUCUGAAUUAAAAAUAUGUUAAAUGGUUCGAAUUAGAUGCAUUUAACAUAAGACUUUUAAGCAAGAAUUUAAGUGCCUAUUGGCGCAGACUGUAUUCACUGUGCACAAUAAAGUUCUUGUACCGAUGGCAUAGUUCAAUACUUUCUUUUUCUUUUAAAAAAUUAUUAAAUAAGUUUUUCACUAAAAUUUAAAAUAUUUGAUAAAGAUAUAUAAUAAGCAAUAAUUAUAAUAUUUUGUUGUUAAAGAAAAUAAAUAUUCAUGCCAUCAUGUGUUGGCAACUUGACAUACAUAUAGUUUUUUUGUGACCAGUAAGCAUCAGCAUAAUCUGACACAUUGUUAGGCCCCAAAUUCCUAAGGGCCACCCAUUCUAAGACUACUCCCGUCCUAGCAUGUGUAACUCUUUUAACCUUUUGGGCUUAACCACCACCCAAAAUGCUUAAAUCAGGUUAAGAGUUUUAGUCCUAUUAUAUCUUAUAUAUGGGACUAUUCGGGAUCUCACACACGCCCUGUACUGUAACAUACUAGCAAAUUUUUGAUACGAUUCUGUACUACGGCACUUAAAUCCUUAUUUUUAAAGAGUAAAUAAUUGGAUCAAAUGCGUCAUAGUUUAUAUAAGGGAAAACUUCAAAAACCCUCAUGUUGUUCCGCACUUUUUUAUUUUAGUACCCUGUGGUUUAAAGUGUAUCAAGUUAGUACCCUGUGGUUUCGCACUUUCCCACUGUAGUAUCCUGUGGUUUAAAGCGUAUCAAGUUAGUACUCUGUGGUUUUACUUUUGUAUCAAGUUAGUACCAUGUGGUUUUAUUUUUGUAUCAAGUUAGUACCCUAUGAUUUUAUUUUUUUCUUAAUAAAAUAUUAAACCACGGGGUACUAAAGUGAGAAAGUGCGAAGCCAAAGGGUACCAAAGUGAGAAAAUACGAAACUAUAUGGUACCAACUACUAACCUGAUACACUUUAAAUCACAAGAUACUAAAAUGAGAAAGAGUGAAACUACAAGGAAGGUAUUUGAAGUUUUCCCUUUAUAUAAAUAUCAUGCAUUCUUACUAAAU